CCUACGGGAGGCAGCAGUGAGGAAUAUUGGUCAAUGGGCUUACGCCUGAACCAGCCAAGUCGCGUGAGGGAAGACUGCCCUAUGGGUUGUAAACCUCUUUUGUCAGGGAGCAACGACGGCUACGUGUAGCCGGACUGAGAGUACCUGAAGAAAAAGCAUCGGCUAACUCCGUGCCAGGAGCCGCGGUAAUACGGAGGAUGCUAGCGUUAUACGGAUUUAUUGGGUUUAAAGGGUGCGUAGGAGGAAUGACAAGUCAGUGGUAAAAGCGCGGGGCUCAACCCCUCGCCGCCGUUGAAAAUGGCGUUAUUGAGGGGGCGAGAAGUAUGUGGAAUGCGUGGGGUAGCGUUGAACUGCAGAGAUAUCACGCAGAAUCCAGAGUGCGAAGGAAGCAUGCCGGAUCCCAACUGACGCUGAAGUACGAAAGCGUGGGGAUCGAACAGGAUGAGAGACCCGGGUAGUC
rnacentral:rRNA from 1 species